rnacentral:rRNA from 1 species
UGAAAGUCGGUAACACCCGAAGCCGGUGGCCUAACCCGUAAGGGGGGGAGCCGUCGAAGGUGGGAUCGGCGAUUGGGACG